UACGGAGGGUGCAAGCGUUGUUCGGAAUUACUGGGCGUAAAGCGCAGGUAGGCGGUCUCUCUUGUCUGAGGUGAAAUCCCUGAGCUUAACUCAAGAAGUGCCUCAGAAACGGUGAGACUAGAGUUCUGGAGAGGGUCGUGGAAUUCCCGGUGUAGCGGUGAAAUGCGCAGAUAUCAGGAGGAACACCGGUGGCGAAGGCGGAUCUCUGGGCCGUGCCUGACGCUGAGGCGCGAAAGCGUGGGGGGCGAACAGG
rnacentral:rRNA from 1 species